UACGUAGGGGGCAAGCGUUGUCCGGAUUUAUUGGGCGUAAAGCGCGCGUAGGCGGCGCGGUAUGUCGUGCGUGAAAUCUCCCGGCUUAACUGGGAGGGGCCGUGCGAAACUGCCGGGCUUGAGGUCGGAAGGGGAAAGUGGAAUUCCGGGUGUAGUGGUGGAAUACGUAGAUAUCCGGAGGAACACCAGCGGCGAAGGCGGCUUUCUGGUCCGAUACUGACGCUGAUGCGCGAAAGCGUGGGGAGCGAUCCGG
rnacentral:rRNA from 1 species